GAAGAAUAGUCACUUAUGCCUUAGGCUGGCUCAGUGAAUCAGCAUUUUUACAUAAACAAUAGGGCAGAGGAAGCAAUCAGACAGGCAUUUGUUUCAGGUGAGCAGAGGGGUGACCUUCUGUCCCGCAGCUGUGAAGACUGGCUGUUGGUUGACAUUGCCAGGAUGCAAUUCGACAGAACUGCUUUAGGGUGAAGAUCUUGAAGCCCACAAGGAAUUUCCCUGUGGGAAAAUUGUGAGGAAGGGGACUAUCCUGGUGAUCCAGCCAUACAGUGGAGUUCUACGUUGUGGAGAAGGCUCUUUACAUAUCACCAUGAAAAAAAUCUCAGACAAAGAUAAGGAUCAGGAUACUAUGUUCAGCAUGCUACAAUUCGUGCAAAACUGGACGAAGGGAAGAAUGGAUAUAUAUGUAAAAUUUAUAUUUGCAUAAAACAUCACUGCAAGAUUAUGCAUGAAACUGAAAGCAUUGGCUGCCUUGAGGGAGGAGGAGGAGUGUGUGCCUGACAGACAGGGUGGGAGGGGGUUUGUCAUGACUGACUCGUUUCACUUUUCAAAUGUGGAACAAUAUGAGCAUGUUCCCUGUUAAUAAAUGAAUGGUUACAGUGUUUUCAAGAA